GACGAACGCUGGCGGCGCGCUUAACACAUGCAAGUCGAGCGAAGCGGCGGACGGGUGAGUAACACGUGAGUAACCUGACUUAGACAUUGGGAUAGCCUAGGGAAACCGGGAUUAAGACCAAAUGGUCUAAGAUGGACUGGGGGCCCAUUAGCUAGUUGGUGAGGUAACGUCCCACCAAGGCGACGAUGGGUAGCCGGCCUGAGAGGGUGAACGGCCACAUUGGAACUGAGCAACAGUCGAAACUCUCCGGGAGGCAGCAGUGGCGAAUAUUGCACAAUGGAGGGAACUCUGAUGCAGCGACGCCGCGUGAACGAAGAAGGCUUUCGAGUCGUAAAGUGCGUUUAUAUGGGAAGCGGUACCAUAAGAAAAAGCCCCGGCUAACUACGUGCCAGCAGCCGCGGUAAUUC
rnacentral:rRNA from 1 species